UACGGGGGGGCAAGCGUUGUUCGGAAUUACUGGGCGUAAAGGGCCAGUAGGCGGCCAACUAAGUCCGACGUGAAAUCCCAAGGCUUAACCUUGGAACUGCGUCUGAUACUGGAUGGCUUGAAUCCGGGAGAGGGAUGCAGAAUUCCAGGUGUAGCGGUGAAAUGCGUAGAUAUCUGGAGGAAUACCGGUGGCGAAGGCGGCAUCCUGGACCGGCAUUGACGCUGAGGAGCGAAAGCCAGGGGAGCAAACGGG
rnacentral:rRNA from 1 species